rnacentral:rRNA from 1 species
AUGAACCCACUAAUUGUUGUUGCUUCUGUUAUUGUUGCUGGAUUGGCUGUAGGGCUUGCUUCUAUUGGACCUAGAGUUGGUCAAGGUACUGUUGCAGGACAAGCUGUAGAAGGUAUUGCGAGAUAGCCAGAAGCAGAAGGUAAAAUACGAGGUACUUUAUUGCUUAGUCUAGCUUUUAUGAAAGCUUUAAAAAUUCAUGGACUAGUUGUGGCACUAGCACUUUUAUUUGUGAACCUUUUUAUUUAA